CUCACUGAUACACUAGAAGGACUAGAGGAUUUAUUCAAAUAUGCAUCCAAGCACAUGGAAUUAAAAUCCGAUAAGUGGAUUGAUCUAGAUGUUACAACAUGGAAAAGAGAAGAAUAUAUUAAGAGCCGUCUUCAGACGGAUGGGUGGUCUUGUGGUCUCUGGAUGUUAAAUUACAUGGAGUACUUCACGGGAGAUGGUUUGUCCGACACUCCUGAACAGGUAUAUUUAGCAUCGUAUCAUGAUACUAAU